AAAUUGUUUGUAGCUCUAGUCAAUCUGCGUCCUUUGGUCAUUCUAGGGCUCACUGAUCUCAAACAUUGUUCUUUAAUCCUGCAUGAAUCCACCUUUACGUGUCCGUUUCUUGUUUGGUUCCAUUCUGGUAGGAAAUUGUUGAGUAGCCUCCAUAUGCAUAUGAAGACCUAUGGUGGAGGAAUUAGUGGCAUCACAGAGGAAACAGAUUGGGUAAAGAGCAAAAUUAACAUUUAUUGGAGAGAGAAAUGCAAAAGGUGUGAGAGUUAUAAGAAGAGAGUCUUGUAAUGAAUGUGUAGGUGGGGAGAGGGCUAGAAAAGCAGAGGACCUUUCUCUGUUUCUUCGCUGUUCCUUGCUUUCAGGAAAACUCAAUUUUCACGUGAAUAAGAAGAGCUCAUCAAAAAUUAAUGUGGUCUCAGAAUAAGCUUUGGCUUUGCCAUCUUUAUUGAAUAAGUAAGGGUUUGAUUUUCCGUAGAAGCAAUGCAACUAGUCAUUAUUUUCAAAUGCAAACUUUUGAGAACGUCAUCGUGGCUAUAUAGUUUGUUACCAUUGGAAAUGGUCAAUAUUUGGCCAAAUAAGGAUAUCAUCCGAAAAUGGUAUUUACAUAUGACUUAUAGCAGAUUCGGUAAUCUUCUUUUCUCGAAUAAAAUUAUCUUCAA